rnacentral:rRNA from 1 species
GACGAACGCUGGCGGCGUGCUUAACACAUGCAAGUCGAACGGAAAGGCCCUGCUUUUGUGGGGUGCUCGAUUGGCGAACGGGUGAGUAACACGUGAGUAACCUGCCCUUGUCUUUGGGAUAACUUCAGGAAACUGGGGCUAAUACCGGAUAGGAGCUCCUGCUGCAUGGUGGGGGUUGGAAAGUUUCGGCGGUUGGGGCUGGAUUGGCGGCUUAUCGGCUGCUUGGUGGGGUAGGGGCUGACGAAGGCUUUGACGGGUAGCCGGCCUGGGAGGGGUACCGGGGACAUUGGGACUGAGGGAGGGCCCAGAAGGGUACGGGAGGCAGUAGGGGGGAACAUUGCGGAACGGGGGGAAGCCUGAUGCGGCAGCGCCGCGUGCGGAAUGACGGGUUUCUGGUUGUAAACCGCUUUCGACGGUGCUGAAGCGUGAGUGACGGUAAUGGGUAAAGAAGCACCGGCUAACUACGUG